CUCCUUCUCCUCCUCGCGUGCGCCGUUUCUUCUCGGGCGAAACCGCAGAAACCCUAGUUUCUUCUCCGGCGGUCGGCAGAGGGUUGUCUUCGAGAAUCCUUCACAUUCUCGUGAUCUUCUUGACGUGGAGAGCACGUAGACGUGAAGAAGGCGCUGCGAUUUUGAGUCUCGUCCGAACCCUAGAAGCCUAUUUUCUUCUCUGGUUGUAAGUUCUAAGAGCAAGGAUAAAGGAAAAGCUAAGAUAUGAAGGGAGGCGAUAGGGUGGUGGUGAUGAUGGAUGUGUGUGGUGGCUGGACUAUGGAGAGAUCCAGAAUGAGCUGGCAAAUUGCCAAGACUUUUCUGUUUAGUUCUUUUAGUUCUCUUUUAAGUGUUAUUAUGGGUUGAGACUGUAAAUAAGUUUAUUCCGCAUUUGUAAUUAGUUUUCUUUUAUUAUGAGUUGGAGUAGUAUAGUUGUUGCUA